GCUGGGGUUGUGGCUCAGUGGUAGGGCACUUGCCUAGCAUGUGUGAGGCACUGGGUUUGAUUCUCAGCACAGCA
rnacentral:tRNA from 1 species